UCUGGGGAUAGCGUGCUGUGGGCAGGGGUGGGGUGUCCUUGCAGGUGCCACCAUGCCGUGCCAGUGUCACCAGGCAAUGGCAAAGGCUCCCUGGGAGCAGCUGGGCUGUUGGCAGCAGGGCAAUGCCAUGGCACAGAGCGCAGGGAGGUCACCACGCUGCUCAGCUCACCCCUGCUGCGGGCACUGACCCUAAAAUAAACCCCCUUCUGUGCCCAGACCCCCAGAAAGGGCGGCUGUCACCCCUUGGGGACCCUCAGGGGCCCUGCAGCCAGGAGGGCUCUCAGACCUGGCAGGAGCCGGGGCUCUGCUGGCCGGGGGCAGAGAGCAAGGCUUGGCAAAGCUGCUCUUUGCUGUUGCACACUCAGGGCUGGUGCAGGAGAAGGGAAGUGAAAAUGCCUGGGGCUGACCUCGGGCUUUCCUCACACACGCAAGGAGGCACCCAGAGCUUCCAUGGGGGCAGGAGGCCAAAGCCCAGCCCUGCUCCCUCCCCAGGAACAGCAGGAAGGAGGAAAAGGAAGAAGCUCAGAGGGAAACCCUUGAUUAGUGCAGAGGGAGAUCCCCCCACGGCUCCAGGACCUGUCCUGAGCUGGUUUUGGAGCAGGGGCGAUGCUGGUGGCGGUUCCAUAGAUACCGAUGCCAUGACAACCCUGACAUCAUCCCUGCUCCGGACGGGAGCUGCAGGGAAAGGCGCAGGGAGGAGGAGGAGCACGGGGCUGUGGGGCUGGGGGCUGCCCCACUGCAGCCCCAUUGCCCUGGCAGGGACCGUGUCACUGUCACACUGCGGGUUACCUGCGGGACAGGUUGCAAUCAGGAUUUAACUGUUGAAGCUCAUAAUGGUGCCACGCAGCUUUUCUCAAUGACAGGCAAAACCGAAAUGGCCACGGAGAGAAUGGCAGGUUGGUCCCUCCUGCUUUCUGCUGGCAGGGUGGCUCGUGGAGCUGGCCAGGGAAGGGACCUCAGUGCCAAGAGCAUCACUGCCAGCUCAUCCCUGAAUUGCAGGUCAGGAACAAAGACCAAAUUAACUGGAAGGGAUUACCCGAGGUGGGAUUUUCAAUCAGCUCCAUCAGUUUAGAAGCAGCUGUUUCAGCAUCCUCAAAAAUCCAAAUCAGGCUUUGGGCACAAACCAUCCCAAACCCAUCAGCCCAGAGUGAUGGCAUGGGCUGCCCUGCUCCUCCAGGGUGCCAGUGCCAGGGAGGCAGCGUCUUCCAGGGAUGCUGCACAGGGAAUCAAGGGGACCUGUGGGUUCUGCUCCUGGUUUUCUGAUGAUAUUGGGGAAACCACUUUUUUCUCCCUCUUCCUUACAUGUCUUGCCCAGCUGAUCUGUCCCAGCUGGAAUUUCUGGACAAUGCAAAGCACAAGGGAGCAGGACACUGCCUGAAUCUUUGAGAUGUUGCCCUAGAACAAAUCAUGACCAUUUCCAGACAGGUGUGGGGUUUAUACCCUUCAAGGCAUGACCAUGGCGCACUGAAAUUUCUGCUCCUAAACUUGUCCUUUCUUUGGGGUUCAUCCCCCGACUUCUGCUGUGUGCAGUGUUUAUACAAUCAUUUCCCACAACGUGGGGUGCCAGUUUUCUCCCCCUGCACCAGCUCAGAUAAAGCACAGGAGGUAUCUCCAGCCCACAUACAAACUGUCUUUCUGUCUCGCUUCCUAUUGCUGCAAAUCAACAGAUACACAGAGGCGGCCAAUAAUGGGGAAGGAUAUUGCACUUUCCACAUUUCCCCCAUCAAAUGGAGAACAGCAGCGUUUGCAAAUGGCACUUCUCAGAGCAUUUGUUCGGUUUGAACAAGUUUUGUCUCUAUUUACCAUUCUCACUGGAUUUCAGGGACAGGGGACCAGGACAGGGAACAAGGACAGGAAGCAAAUAGAGCAGCACACAGACAAAUGCCUGAGAGCUGCCCUUUUUUUUAUUUCACAGGAGUUUGAUUAAAGGUAGUGGAAAACAUAUAUUUGCUUUUUGCUUCUUCUGGUCAUGCCAACUUCUUACCUUUGUCUCUAUGACAAAAAAACCCAUCAGGGCUAAAUAUGUGGACAUGAUAGCUUGGAGGAGAUAAGAUGUGCAGCUUUCUCCUUCAAAACCGGUUCCAGUCAGCCUGACCCACUCAGCCAAGGGCUGACCCUUCAGGUUGUCCUUCACGUUCCCCGGGCAGCAGGCUGCAAGCAGCACUUUGAGAGACGUUUAGUUGUUGCUCUGAAAUGCUUUGCUUGCCCUUCAUUAGAGCUGGACUGAUGCUGCUUUCGGCCAUCAAAUGAGAAAAUGAAAAUGAGAGUUGAUGGGAAUAUUGAGAAGAGCUUAGAAGUCCAUAGGGAGCUGGGCAGAGAAUGAGCAGUACCUUAGCCCACUGUCACGAGAAAGCUCUUCAUGCUUUUUACCCUAAGAGAUCCAAAAAUAUCUGGAAGAUCACUUAUUAGCUGGUUACUCAUCUGCUUGUGAAACGUUUCUCAGGUGGGAUUUAGCACUUACUGUACACGGAUAAACCAGGAUAAGUGUGCCAGAAAAAACUGUGGAAAGUUUUUCUAACAGAAAUCAGUGAGAGAAGACUGGGAUAACAGAGCUCAGUGAGUUGAGGUAGUUUUGAAAAGGGGAGUUGUGUAAAACCCAAACUGAACCAAACCCCAAAGGGUUUCAAAACACCUCUCAGCGGUGCAGCCGUGGCCUCAACGCCUCAGGAGGGAACUCAGCAUCUGCUCCUCCAGAUAUCUCACUGCAUCAAAAUUUUGGGGCUUUUGGCAAACCAGGAUCUAAUCUGAUUCAGCCACUGCUCCCCACCUUGGGAGGAGCUUGAAAAGGGGGAACAAAGUGUUUGCUGUUCCCCAAACUGGUCUGCUUAGGAGCACACCAGCAGGUCCCAGCGUGCUGGGGACAUGCCACCAACAGCUGACCGUGGUGCCUGUCACCUGCAGCUGACAGGUACAAGGACAUGGGGCAGCUCAAGCCAUACUGGACAUGAAGAUCAUCCACAGGUACAUCCAGCUUUGCUGCCAAAAAUACACUGAAAAUAAGAAAAGCUUUGUUUCUUAACUGAACACAACCCCAGCAGGUCCUCACAUUCACCAGCAGGAUGCAACCUGAUGGAAAAGAGAUUUGUGGGAUGGAUGGAGAUGAGGGAUUUUAUAAGUGUGAACACUCUCAGGCCCAGGCUUGUGCAGCACAAGCCCAUUAAAACAGCCCCCCUGAAGGAGAUUUGCAUCUAAACAGGAAAUACAGGGGAAGACUGCCCUAACAGCUAUUUUACCUCCCUUGUGCAGAAGUGAAAAUGUGGCCGCAGAAGAUGAAGUUACUUACUUGGUGUCUAGCAAGAAGAUUAUGACUAAAAAAGAACUAAAUUUUGAUCUCUAGAGCCUCCAGCCACGUGCUCUGGCCAUGAAGGCAUUGUAUUUUUUUAUUUUUUUUUCAUGCACAUCUGGAUGGAAAAAGCAGGGAAAGCUCAGUUUUGUCUGACCAUCCUCAGAAUUCACAGGGCAAGUCUCCAUCCAGCAGUGGGACUUGAGCUUAGAAGAACACUAAAGCAUGGAAGGUUUUAGGGGCUGCAUGAAACACCUGGUGGGACAGACAUUAAAUUAACUCCACUGUUUCCUUUCUCACAGAUCUGCUAACCCAAAGCAAAUCUCCCAUGAAACUGUGGGAUUUCUUCCCACCUUUUCCCAGCAGAGCAAAGCAGGUGACAACAAUGCCAAAGAAGUUGGAUCCCCUCUCUGGCUGUUCUCACUGUUGUGUGUUGUUCCCUGUACCCACCUCUGGUCCGUGCAGGAGGCCUGUCACUCUUACAAAAUUAUCCAGUGAGGUAAAUUCACCCUUUCUUAUCUGUUAAUGACCAAAAAAAGCCAGAACAUCUCCAUAUAUCACCAGCUAUGGGCUGAAGAUCAGGUAGGAAAUGUGCUGGAAACAGCAUCCAGGACUUUAUUCUGCUUCCAAGUGCAGAUUUUAGCUGCAGGCAGAGGAGUAACACAUCCCUCGUUGUGGUAAUUACACCAGAGGCUUGCACACUCGUUUGAAAAGUAACAGAAGGCACCAAAAUCUCCUCCCAAAGCCCCAGGAAAGGGACUAGGAUGAGGUAGAACAUUUGGUGUCUGGAGCAGUCUUGUUCCAGAGAAGGGUAAGAGGUGCAAAAGUCAAGGAAGCACAAGUAUAUACAUGGCAAUCCAUCCUCUGUUGCCCUCUGCUGUUGGCUUGGUCGGAUGUGAAGGGGUUUGGUGUUCACCAACACUUCCCUGUGGGACUGAUCCAGAGCAGUGCCCCAGCUGGUGCCAAGGCUGACCCUCACCCCUUGGAUUAAAUUUAACUGAUUUGUCUCUGUGCCAUUACCUGUGGUUUGCUUUUUAUGUGUUAUUACUUUCCUUAUUACCCUACAAAAUCAAGAGUUGACUUCACAUCACCUUGUUGGCUGUGCUUAAUCCUGACUUCAAAUAAUAUUGGAUAGCUGCUCUCCAUCCUUCAGACAAAAAGCCUGAGCAGUCAUUCCAGGAAUGGAAUAAAACCCCAACAAAAUCAGUGCUUAGAAGGAGAGGAAAGAAAAAAACAAACAAAAAAAGCCAAACCCUUCCCUCUCCAAGCCUGUAAAACUCCAAGAGGAAGAGUCUCCCACACUGCCUGGAACAGACUGAAGCAGAAGACAGGAGAAAACAAAGCAGCUCUUGGGAAUCCUACUGUAAACAGGAGCCUGAAUACACCCAACACCCUGCAAAGGAACAGCUAAUCCCUGGAAAAAUGUCAAAGGCACAGUGCUGCUUCUGCCAGCAUCUGCAAGUCUGCCUGCCAUCCAUGGAACAGAUGAUUCCCCCAGGGCUCCCUGCUCUUUGCUUUUGGGGAGGGAAGAAAAAUUUUGAAAAAAGAAGGAAAAAAAAAAGUGAAGCAUGGUUUGGAUGCAAACCAGCCCAUGAAAACAGCGAGGAAUUUGGGAAGCUGCAAGGUUGGUCAGGUUCCUGUCACACAGCAGCAGCUCUUGAGAAAGGUCCCACAAGCUCCUCAAGCAGCACCUGCUCCUGACUCUGCUCUUCCUCUCCUCAUUCCAGAAAAUGGGAUUGCAAACCCUACUCCCAACUCUAAUGCUGCCCCUCACGCUGAAAGUCAAGAAAAUCACUGGGAUCCCAUAAAAAUUCCCACUGUUCCCCAUAUAAAAGCAAAUUCCGACUCGACAGAACCUGCUGGAAAAAUUCCUGCAUUGUUGUAGGGCCAACAGAGAACUGCAUCAAUCCAAGAGCACAAGAGGAAAGGACCAGGAGCAGCCCCACCUUGUCUGAUCAAUGCACACAGAAUCACACAAUUUCCCUGAGCCACCAGACUAUAAUAUACACAUACAUAAUUAUAUUUAUAUAUAUAUAUAUAUAUAUAUAUAUAUCUUGUUUUGUAUAUAUAACAGUAAUAUCUUGGCAUGCAGAGGUUAGACCCACCAGCAUAGCAUGAUCCCUUUUCCCAAGAUCCCACCCCUAAGAUCCCAGCAGGAGUGGAUCAGGAGUAAACUCAGUUGCUUUAUUGUUUUUACAUCAACAGGAAAUAUAAUUUGAAUACAGAGAUUUUUAAAACUAGAUUGAAUCAAGUGCAGUUAAUAGAGAAUUCACAAUUUCCUGUACACAAGCAUGAAGACCUCCAGUGGAAAUCCCUUACCCGAGACUAAAACUUGUGGUACAAAUGAACAGCAGAACAAAUCCCCCCAAUCGUCACAUGGUCAAGCCCACAGAGGUGAGGAUGAGAACUACACCAGAGCUCUUCUGCCAAGCCAAAAACAUGAGAGAACAAAGUGCAAGCAUUUUAUCAAAUGGCCCCAUGGUAAAGAUAGAAACUGGCCUAAAAGCAUCCUGACCACAGCUGGUGGCCUCAUUUUCAGGCAGGAUUUGCUAAAGACAGAGACUCGGCUUGAAGGUUCUUCCCCAGCCCUGCCAGGACAGGCUUUUCCUGACAGAAUGUGAUGGAUACAGCCUCAUGUCCCCCUGUGCAGCCAGGGAGGGGACAGCUGUGCUGGGAGGCUCCGAUGUCCCCGCUGCUCCCCGAGCCUGGCCAGCACACCCCAGCACUGGCACAGGGCAGUGCAAGCCCCCAGCCUGCUCCCCUGGUACACAAAGGUGACAAAGGAUGGGACAGAUGUUUCACCAACCUGCUCGUUUACACUGCAACAAAUGAGGGAGAAAUAUCAUUUGCUCCGUGGGCGAGGAAAUUGUCACAGAGAACAGCGGAAGAACACAAAAUUCCUGCUUUAGCACAACCAAAGCCAGAGGGAGACGCCUGCCCACACCCCCAGCUGCUAAAAGCAGCUCCUGGCAGAACUGAGUCAGCAGGGUCCUGCCUGCAAAAAGGGAGGGCUGCAGCCCUUUUGUUGGUCCUCUCCUCUCUAGGGGAUCCCAAUGGGCUUUGUUUUGGGGGCUGAGGUUAUUACCAAAAGACAAAACCCAAGAGCUGGGAUUUAUUUGUUCUAAGAACCUCAACAUGCUGAUAGGGAAAUUUUCUGAGCACUUUUAGUAGCCUGAACGACACCUUCAAUCACACUCUUCACACAGUACCUGGUUAAUGGUUCAUUUGGGUUUGUGUUUAGAAAUGUAACGAUGUAAAAAGUUCAGAAAUCAUUAGUCCAUAAAAGUCUCGUAUUCAUUUAACAGACCCGACUUGAAAGGACUUGAGUGUGCCCCAAAAUGUUAAAAUGUGUUUCCAAAGGUGUUGCUGGUUUUCUAACCACUAAGGAGUCCCACACAGUGCUGUGGGGACCAAAGGCUCAGAUAAGAGGUGCCGCUGCUCUAAUUACAGCAGUACCA